CGAGGGGCAGCAUUUCAGUUUGCUUGCAAACUGAAGAUGGCGACCGGCGCACGGGUGAGUAACACGUAUCCAACCUGCCGAUAACUCCGGGAUAGCCUUUCGAAAGAAAGAUUAAUACCGGAUGGCAUAUGAUUAUCGCAUGAUAAUCCUAUUAAAGAAUUUCGGUUAUCGAUGGGGAUGCGUUCCAUUAGUUUGUUGGCGGGGUAACGGCCCACCAAGACCGCGAUGGAUAGGGGUUCUGAGAGGAAGGUCCCCCACAUUGGAACUGAGACACGGUCCAAACUCCUACGGGAGGCAGCAGUGAGGAAUAUUGGUCAAUGGACGGGAGUCUGAACCAGCCAAGUAGCGUGAAGGAUGACUGCCCUAUGGGUUGUAAACUUCUUUUAUACGGGAAUAAAGUGGUCCACGUGUGGAUUUUUGUAUGUACCGUAUGAAUAAGGAUCGGCUAACUCCGUGCCAGCAGCCGCGGUAAUACGGAGGAUCCGAGCGUUAUCCGGAUUUAUUGGGUUUAAAGGGAGCGUAGGUGGACAGUUAAGUCAGUUGUGAAAGUUUGCGGCUCAACCGUAAAAUUGCAGUUGAUACUGGCUGUCUUGAGUACAGUAGAGGUGGGCGGAAUUCGUGGUGUAGCGGUGAAAUGCUUAGAUAUCACGAAGAACUCCGAUUGCGAAGGCAGCUCACUGGACUGCAACUGACACUGAUGCUCGAAAGUGUGGGUAUCAAACAGGAUUAGAUACCCUGGUAGUCCACACAGUAAACGAUGAAUACUCGCUGUUUGCGAUAUAGUGUAAGCGGCCAAGCGAAAGCGUUAAGUAUUCCACCUGGGGAGUACGCCGGCAACGGUGAAACUCAAAGGAAUUGACGGGGGCCCGCACAAGCGGAGGAACAUGUGGUUUAAUUCGAUGAUACGCGAGGAACCUUACCCGGGCUUAAAUUGCAUUUGAAUAAUCAAGAAAUUGGUUAGUCGUAAGACAAAUG
rnacentral:rRNA from 1 species